rnacentral:rRNA from 1 species
GAUGAACGCUGGCGGCGUGCUUAACACAUGCAAGUCGAACGAUGAAGCCCAGCUUGCUGGGUGGAUUAGUGGCGAACGGGUGAGUAACACGUGAGUAACCUGCCCUUAACUCUGGGAUAAGCCUGGGAAACUGGGUAUAAUACCGGAUAGGAGCGUCCACCGCAUGGUGGGUGUUGGAAAGAUUUAUCGGUUUUGGAUGGACUCGCGGCCUAUCAGCUUGUUGGUGAGGUAAUGGCUCACCAAGGCGACGACGGGUAGCCGGCCUGAGAGGGUGACCGGCCACACUGGGACUGAGACACGGCCCAGACUCCUACGGGAGGCAGCAGUGGGGAAUAUUGCACAAUGGGCGCAAGCCUGAUGCAGCGACGCCGCGUGAGGGAUGACGGCCUUCGGGUUGUAAACCUCUUUCAGUAGGGAAGAAGCGAAAGUGACGGUACCUGCAGAAGAAGCACCGGCUAACUACGUG